UACGAAGGGGGCGAGCGUUGUUCGGAAUUACUGGGCGUAAAGGGCGCGCAGGCGGCUCUGAAAGUCAGAUGUGAAAGCCCCGGGCUUAACCUGGGAAUGGCAUUUGGGACUGCAAGGCUGGAGUACGGCAGAGGAGACUGGAAUUCCUGGUGUAGCAGUGAAAUGCGUAGAGAUCAGGAGGAAUACCGAUGGCGAAGGCAGGUCUCUGGGCUGAUACUGACGCUCAUGCACGAAAGCGUGGGGAGCAAACAGG
rnacentral:rRNA from 1 species